rnacentral:rRNA from 1 species
AUUGAACGCUGGCGGCAUGCCUUACACAUGCAAGUCGAACGGCAGCACGGGUGCUUGCACCUGGUGGCGAGUGGCGAACGGGUGAGUAAUACAUCGGAACGUACCUUAUCGUGGGGGAUAACGCAGCGAAAGCUGUGCUAAUACCGCAUACGCCCUGAGGGGGAAAGCGGGGGAUCGCAAGACCUCGCGCGAUUAGAGCGGCCGAUGCCUGAUUAGCUUGUUGGUGGGGUAAGAGCCCACCAAGGCGACGAUCAGUAGCUGGUCUGAGAGGACGAUCAGCCACACUGGGACUGAGACACGGCCCAGACUCCUACGGGAGGCAGCAGUGGGGAAUUUUGGACAAUGGGGGCAACCCUGAUCCAGCAAUACCGCGUGAGUGAUGAAGGCCUUCGGGUUGUAAAGCUCAUUUGUCAGGGAAGAAACACCGGCUCUAACACAGUCCGGGAAUGACGGUACCUGAAGAAUAAGCACCGGCUAACUACGUGCCAGCCGCCGCCGUAA